UGGACAGAUUAUUGUAUUCGACUGUAUUCACAACGUGAAAUAGGGGAUUACACUGUUUUUAAAACGGAAAGUGAAUCAAUUAACAUAAUAUACUCCU
rnacentral:pre_miRNA from 1 species